rnacentral:misc_RNA from 1 species
GAAAUGCGAUAAGUAGUGUGAAUUGCAGAAUUCAGUGAAUCAUCGAAUCUUUGAACGCACAUUGCGCCCCUUGGUAUUCCAUGGGGCAUGUCUGUUCGAGCGUCAUUUGUGCCCUCAAGCUCUGCUUGGUGUUGGGUGUUUGUCCCCGUCUCCGCGCGUGGACUCGCCCCAAAGUGAUUGGCAGCCGGCGUACUGGUCCCGGAGCGCAGCACAUGUCGCGCAAACGAGUGCCUUGGUACGGCGGCGUCCAUAAGCCCCUCUCUCACGCUCUUGACCUCGGAUCAGGUAGGGAUACCCGCUGAACUUAAGC